rnacentral:rRNA from 1 species
GACGAACGCUGGCGGCGUGCUUAACACAUGCAAGUCGAACGGAAAGGCCCUGCUUGCAGGGUGCUCGAGUGGCGAACGGGUGAGUAACACGCGGGUGAUCUGCACCUUACUUUGGGAUAAGCCUGGGAAACUGGGUCUAAUACUGGGUAGGACCAUGCUGUAGGUGGUGUGGUGGCAAGUUGAGUUUCGUUAGGGGAUGAGCGCGCGGCCUCUCAGCUUGUUGGCGGGGUAUUGGCCUACCAGGGCGUCGACGGGUAGCCGGCCUGAGAGGGUGGGCGGCAGCAUUGGGACUGUGAGACGGCGCAGCGGCCUACGGGAGGAAGCAAUGGGGAAGAGUGGAAAAUGGGAGAAAGGCGGAAGCCGCGACGGCGCCUGGGGGAUGAAGGCCUUCGGGUUGUAAAGUCCUUACGGCCAUGAAGAAGCGAAGAUGAUGACGGUAGUGGUAGAAGAAGCCCCGGCUAACUACGUG